rnacentral:lncRNA from 1 species
ACACACACAUCGACCCAAUACACGGCCAUAAUUAUGAUGCAUAUGUAAUGUAACUCAAACAUUAUCAAUCUCUGCAAAACAGUAAUACAAAUAAUAACAAAAAUAUUUCAAGUUUAAUCCCAUGAAUAAUAAUACUCUUCCAACGUCAAAUAAUAUCCAAGAAGCAAUAUCAAUAAUACUAUUCACCAAGCAAAACAACAAUACUAUUCAUAUUUAUAAUACUAUAUAUAAACACCAAGAUUAAAAGUGAUAUAGUCCAAUCAUUGGGGAAUCAGGAAACCCUACCUUGC